rnacentral:rRNA from 1 species
GGUUAAGUGACUAAGCGUACAGGGCGGAUGCCUUGGCAAUCAGAGGCGAUGAAGGACGUGCUAAUCUGCGAAAAGCUUGGAUGAGUCGAUAAGAGGCGUUUAAUCCAAGAUGUCCGAAUGGGGAAACCCGAUGGAUGAAGAAUCCAUCAUUUCAUUGUGAAUACAUAGCAAUGAAAGGCGAACCGGGAGAACUGAAACAUCUAAGUACCCCGAGGAAAAGAAAUCAACCGAGAUUCUGUGAGUAGCGGCGAGCGAAAGCGGAAGAGCCAGUAAGUUUUAGCUAGUGUAUUAGAGGAAUUGGCUGGGAAGCCAAAUCAAAGAGGGUGAUAAUCCCGUACUCGAAAGUAUGGUAGUGGAACUAAGCUUACGAUAAGUAAGGCGGGACACGAGAAAUCCUGUUUGAAGAUGGGGGGACCAUCCUCCAAGGCUAAAUACUCCUGAUUGACCGAUAGUGAACCAGUACUGUGAAGGAAAGGCGAAAAGAACCCCGGUGAGGGGAGUGAAAUAGAACCUGAAACCCUGUACGUACAAGCAGUAGGAGCGAGGGCAACCUUGUGACUGCGUACCUUUUGUAUAAUGGGUCAGCGACUUAUAUUUUGUAGCGAGGUUAACUGAAUAAGGGAGCCGAAGGGAAACCGAGUCUUAACUGGGCGUUGAGUUGCAAGGUAUAGACCCGAAACCCGGUGAUCUAGCCAUGGGCAGGUUGAAGGUUGGGUAACACUAACUGGAGGACCGAACCGACUAAUGUUGAAAAAUUAGCGGAUGACUUGUGGCUGGGGGUGAAAGGCCAAUCAAACCGGGAGAUAGCUGGUUCUCCCCGAAAUCUAUUUAGGUAGAGCCUUGAGCGGACACCUUCGGGGGUAGAGCACUGUUUCGGCUAGGGGUCCAUCCCGGAUUACCAACCCGAUGCAAACUGCGAAUACCGAAGAGUGAUACUCAGGAGACACACGGCGGGUGCUAACGUUCGUCGUGGAGAGGGAAACAACCCAGACCGCCAGCUAAGGUCCCGAAGUCUAUAUUAAGUGGGAAACGAAGUGGGAAGGCUUAGACAGCUAGGAUGUUGGCUUAGAAGCAGCCAUCAUUUAAAGAAAGCGUAAUAGCUCACUAGUCGAGUCGGCCUGCGCGGAAGAUGUAACGGGGCUCAAAUAUAGCACCGAAGCUGCGGCAUCAGAAUUUAUUCUGUUGGGUAGGGGAGCGUUGUGUAAGCGGAUGAAGGUGGCUCGAGAGGGUUGCUGGACGUAUCACAAGUGCGAAUGCUGACAUAAGUAACGAUAAAACGAGUGAAAAACUCGUUCGCCGGAAGACCAAGGGUUCCUGUCCAACGUUAAUCGGGGCAGGGUGAGUCGGCCCCUAAGGCGAGGCUGAAAAGCGUAGUCGAUGGGAAACGGGUUAAUAUUCCCGUACUUGGUAAAGCUGCGAUGUGGGGACGGAGAAGGUUAGGUAAGCGGACUGUUGGAUAUGUUCGUUUAAGCAGGUAGUUGGAAAGGGUAGGCAAAUCCGCUCUUUCAUACAACAACGAGACGUGAUGACGAGGCUCUACGGAGCUGAAGUUACCGAUACCCAGCUUCCAGGAAAAGCCACUAAGCGAAAGGCUUUACUAAACCGUACUGAAAACCGACACAGGUGGUCAGGUAGAGAAUACUCAGGCGCUUGAGAGAACUCGGGUGAAGGAACUAGGCAAAAUAGCACCGUAACUUCGGGAGAAGGUGCGCUUACAGUAAUUGUAGUCCCUUGCGGAUGAAGGUGAAGUAAGUCGAAGAUACCAGCUGGCUGCAACUGUUUAUUAAAAACACAGCACUCUGCAAACACGAAAGUGGACGUAUAGGGUGUGAUGCCUGCCCGGUGCUGGAAGGUUAAUUGAUGGUGUUAUCGAAAGAGAAGCUCCUGAUCGAAGCCCCAGUAAACGGCGGCCGUAACUAUAACGGUCCUAAGGUAGCGAAAUUCCUUGUCGGGUAAGUUCCGACCUGCACGAAUGGCAUAAUGAUGGCCAGGCUGUCUCCACCCGAGACUCAGUGAAAUUGAAAUCGCCGUGAAGAUGCGGUGUACCCGCGGCUAGACGGAAAGACCCCGUGAACCUUUACUAUAGCUUGACACUGAACAUUGAAUUUUGAUGUGUAGGAUAGGUGGGAGCCUUUGAAGCAGUGACGCCAGUCAUUGUGGAGGCGACCUUGAAAUACCACCCUUUAACGUUUGAUGUUCUAACGAAGUGCCUGAAACGGGUACUCGGACAGUGUCUGGUGGGUAGUUUGACUGGGGCGGUCUCCUCCCAAAGCGUAACGGAGGAGCACGAAGGUUUGCUAAUGACGGUCGGACAUCGUCAGGUUAGUGCAAUGGUAUAAGCAAGCUUAACUGCGAGACAGACAAGUCGAGCAGGUGCGAAAGCAGGUCAUAGUGAUCCGGUGGUUCUGAAUGGAAGGGCCAUCGCUCAACGGAUAAAAGGUACUCCGGGGAUAACAGGCUGAUACCGCCCAAGAGUUCAUAUCGACGGCGGUGUUUGGCACCUCGAUGUCGGCUCAUCACAUCCUGGGGCUGAAGUAGGUCCCAAGGGUAUGGCUGUUCGCCAUUUAAAGUGGUACGCGAGCUGGGUUUAGAACGUCGUGAGACAGUUCGGUCCCUAUCUGCCGUGGGCGUUGGAUGAUUGAUUGGGGCUGCUCCUAGUACGAGAGGACCGGAGUGGACGCAUCACUGGUGUUCCAGUUGUCUCGCCAGAGGCAUUGCUGGGUAGCUAAAUGCGGAAGAGAUAAGUGCUGAAAGCAUCUAAGCACGAAACUUGCCAAGAGAUGAGUCAUCCCUGACUUUAAGUCAGUAAGGGUUGUUGUAGACGACGACGUAGAUAGGUUGGGUGUGUAAGUGUAGUGAUACAUUGAGCUAACCAAUACUAAUUGCCCGAGAGGCUUAACCAU